rnacentral:rRNA from 1 species
ACGCUGGCGGCGUGCCUAAUACAUGCAAGUAGAACGCUGAAGGAGGAGCUUGCUUCUCUGGAUGAGUUGCGAACGGGUGAGUAACGCGUAGGUAACCUGCCUGGUAGCGGGGGAUAACUAUUGGAAACGAUAGCUAAUACCGCAUAACAGUAGAUGUUGCAUGACAUUUGCUUAAAAGGUGCAAUUGCAUCACUACCAGAUGGACCUGCGUUGUAUUAGCUAGUUGGUGGGGUAACGGCUCACCAAGGCGACGAUACAUAGCCGACCUGAGAGGGUGAUCGGCCACACUGGGACUGAGACACGGCCCAGACUCCUACGGGAGGCAGCAGUAGGGAAUCUUCGGCAAUGGACGGAAGUCUGACCGAGCAACGCCGCGUGAGUGAAGAAGGUUUUCGGAUCGUAAAGCUCUGUUGUAAGAGAAGAACAGGUGUGAGAGUGGAAAGUUCACACUGUGACGGUAUCUUACCAGAAAGGGACGGCUAACUACGUGCCAGCAGCCGCGGUAAUACGUAGGUCCCGAGCGUUGUCCGGAUUUAUUGGGCGUAAAGCGAGCGCAGGCGGUUAGAUAAGUCUGAAGUUAAAGGCUGUGGCUUAACCAUAGUACGCUUUGGAAACUGUUUAACUUGAGUGCAAGAGGGGAGAGUGGAAUUCCAUGUGUAGCGGUGAAAUGCGUAGAUAUAUGGAGGAACACCGGUGGCGAAAGCGGCUCUCUGGCUUGUAACUGACGCUGAGGCUCGAAAGCGUGGGGAGCAAACAGGAUUAGAUACCCCUGGUAGUCCACGCCGUAAACGAUGAGUGCUAGGUGUUAGACCCUUUCCGGGGUUUAGUGCCGCAGCUAACGCAUUAAGCACUCCGCCUGGGGAGUACGACCGCAAGGUUGAAACUCAAAGGAAUUGACG